AUUUCAGAGGAACUAAAUUCAGAAAACUUGGGUGAAAUUACUCUGUUGUCAAAACUUCAUAAUGACCUCACUAACAAGCUGGAUGCCAGUCCUAAUGACGUUUCUUCUUCUCUUACAUUUCUGGAGAGCAAAGGUCUAUGCUUCUGGAGAUUCAGAGGAAAUAGAUUUCACGUAUCUUAUUAUAGGAGUUACUCUGGGAGCCUUUCUAGCAAUUGGUUUUAUAGCAGUAAUAAUUUGCAUGAUCAAAAAACAAAUGCUUGACCAUGUCUUCAGAGAGUCAGAGUGCAAAAUGGAUAGAAGGUCAAACAUGGGAUCAAGCCAGAACAGAGAUGACACCAACACACCAGAACAGCAAACUGAAAGACCAAUUGAUUGACUGAUGACAGGAAGACCUUACAGUGCAUGCUAACUUCCAUCACCUGCACCACAAAGCCUGCAAUCCCCAGCAGUAUGCACAAAGAGGAAAUGUAUGAGGAAAAUAAACAAGAUGAGCUCUGCUCAUUAGCAGAUCCUGUUUAGUCUGUGACAAGUGUAUGAUUGAUUUCUAAAAUCAAUUAAAUACAGGGUAAAUGAAACGCUAGCAAUACAUUUCAGCUGCAAAAUUCAUAGUUGUGCUCACAUUUCAAGUGAGGUUGAAUUAACUUAAAACUCAUUCAUUUGAGGUUGAAGUAAGAUGGGAAAAAUGAUUUGUGUUAAUUUGAAAACAUUUCAUUCACACUAAAGUUAUAUUUUUUAACUUUAGGAUCAAUAUCUUUUGUUUAACUUUUGAUGGCCAUGUUAAUUACAGUUAUUUUAAAUGAAUUGUGGUCAAUUACAAACAAAGGUUUUUCAUAUUUUGCUUUUAGAAAAUUGAAAUUAAGAUAUUGGUGUAUACCCAAAAUAAAAACUUUCUGGACAUCUGAAAUGAAAUGUUCCAUUUCAACUUUCUACAAACAAGCCAAUCUACCACUUCCAAAAUCCACCCAUCUUCAUUUCUUUCAGUAUAAAACAAUGCACUAAAUUCAAUCUGAAUUCUCCUGAAUAAUAUAUAUCCUGAAUAAUUUCAGUCUCCCAUCCCCUUCAUUCUUGGUCUAGCCUUGUAUAUUCUGUUCAAUUUAUUUCCACCAGCUCUGUGUUACUUGGUUCUAGUUACAGCCUUCUUAUAAAUGACAAGAAAAAAGAAUGGCAACAGUUACUCAACUCCAGCUUGGAAAAUCUGUAUUUUAUUAAAAAGUGUGACUUGAAAAACUCAUGGAUACCAGGUACCCCCACCUAGUAAUUAACUUCCAGGCUGUGAACAGCUACAAUCAGCCCUAUGUGUUAUAGGCAGAGCUGAUACCCUGAGUCAGGGCCUUGGAGUCAAAAGUGUCAGAGCAGAAAUAUCAAAAUUAUGUUUCUAUGAGGAAGAUAUUGUACUAAAUACUAAUUGAAACUGAAGUGAUCUGGAUGUGUUUUUGUUCUGGCCAUAGAGAGUCAGGUAAUUUUUCCAAAUGUACCAAGGAAACCCUAUUACUCAGAUUGUAAUUUUUAGCAUGUUUUGAACAAGAAAAUGUAAGUUUUAUUUCAGAGAAAAGUGAUAUAUUGGAAUAAUUUCCCUGGAUUCCCUAGGUAUCUGUUACGCACUUCAGUAUCAGUGCAGUUCAUUAGUAGCAUUUGCUAAUGGAUAAGCUAAAGCAGUAAUGUGAUACUUGCAAGUAAUUGUGUGUAUGUACAUGUGUAAGUGAAUAAACCAUCUUGUAAG
rnacentral:lncRNA from 7 species